AUUGAACGCUGGCGGCAGGCCUAACACAUGCAAGUCGAGCGAGCGGCGGACGGGUGAGUAAUGUCUGGGAAACUGCCUGAUGGAGGGGGAUAACUACUGGAAACGGUAGCUAAUACCGCAUACCAUACGAUGUGCCCAGAUGGGAUUGGCUAGUAGGUGGGGUAACGGCUCACCUGGGCGACGAUCCCUAGCUGGUCUGAGCGGAUGAACAGCCAAACUGGAACUGAGACACGGUCCAGACUCCUACGGGAGGCAGCAGUGGGGAAUAUUGCACAAUGGUCGCAAGCCUGCGGCAGCCAUGCCGCGUGUGUGAAGAAGGCCUUCGGGUUGUAAAGCACUUUCAUCGGGGAGGCGUUACCCGAAGAAGAAGCACCGGCUAACUCCGUGCCAGCAGCCGCGGUAAUAC
rnacentral:rRNA from 1 species